rnacentral:tRNA from 1 species
GUUUUUAUAGUUUAAAGAAAAUACUACACUGAAAAUGUAGAGAUAAGUUUUAAAAACA